UAGGUUGGUUGGCCGCGCUGACCUUGCAGCUGGUCUUCUUGGCGAGGGGGAGAGGAGGAAGAACCCAGCCUGAGGAGCUCAGCCUGCCUGCUUCCCCCCCACCCCACAACAAGUGGGGGGGGGCUACCCCGCGCAUCCUACAGUGCCCCAGGCCAGAAGGAGAAUGCAGGAGUCUCAAGGGGAAAGCUACUCCAGCUAUGUCCAUUCCAACAGCAGCCCAGGCUUGGAAAGUUCUUCAUGCCAGUCCAGGAUGUGCGGUGGAAAUGAUAGUCUACUUAGACGCCACUGCAGUUAUCAAGAUGUUGAGUAAGUGAAUCACAUUUGCACUUCUCAGGAAAUUGCUUUGGUCAGUCCAUGCUGUGGGAAAAUACAUCUUCGGGGUUUUCAGUUCCAGGUUUUAAGAGAGUCCUGACUAACACAGACAUGCCCAGACACAGUGACUUCAGCUGGGGUAUCCAUGAGUGCCAUCCCUUCUACACCUGCAAGACUCACCAUGGUAAGGAAGAAAAAAGUGGACAGCAGAAGACAUGUUUGCAGAACUGCUCAAGACUUCCAAUUCCGGAGUCUGAGACACUUGAGAAUGGAGCGACCAUAGGCUGGAGGAAACACAGAAGGACCAAGAGGUAUACCAAGACAUCACGCACCUCCUCCCACAACAAAGAUGCUCCAAAACAUUAUGGAGCAGAACAUCAGAAGGACUACAUCCCAGCAGCCACUCCACAGCAUGGACAACAAUUCCUUUUUCCAGGGAGUAGGGCCAUGCACACACACACCCCCGCUCCCCCUAUCGGCUUCUUUAGGGCACCAGCAUUCUCAGCAGCAGCAUCCCUUCCACUAUACCCCAGUGAGCAAUAAGGAAAACUGUUCUGAAUACACCUACACUGACCUGUGAUGCAGCCCAGAGAGAUCAGUAGUUAUUACUGAGAAGUUAUUAUUAUAUAAUAAAGUUCAAUUUUGUGAAAACCAUGAUUUCCUUUGUCUUACAAUACAGAGAUUUAACCCCCCAAAUCAGCAGCCCCCUUCAUCCAUGAACAAUUCAUAAACCAGCUAACUACUGUAUGUGCAAUAAAGUAACACUGUCUGGCUAUAGCAAACUCUCAGAAUGUGCUCUUUAGGCUUUGCUCAACUGCACAGCAGCGUGGUGGGCUCUAGUAACUGGCUUUGUGUCACACUGCAUGAAAUCAGAAAACAGCCUGUCCACCUCCACCCUAGUGGAGACAUUUCUCUUCUGGCCUUGCAGAUGUUAUGCAAAACACAACAUGCAGCAAUGACAGUAAGAAUAUUUGGCUUGCUGAGAUUGGUAUCCACCAGCCCUUUGGUAUGCCAUUGGCAUACUCCAUGGUCAUCCUGCACCUUCUCAGGAGACAGUUAAAUCUUUCAUUGUUGCAGUCCAGGUUCCUGAUGUAUGGCUUCAUGAGCCAUGGAAGGGUAGGUUGGGUCCCUGAUAAUAUCAACCCCACCAAACUGAAUAUGCUGUUCUGGGAAAUGUGUCCCUGCUUGCAGCUUUUCCAAAAGUCUGUAUUCCUAAAGAUGUGAGCAUCAUACACCUUUCUUGACCAUCCAAUGCUAAUGUCAGUAAGAUAUCAAGGGUGAUCCUCCAAUGCUUGCAUAACUAUGGGAAAAUAUCCCUUUUCUCUUUAUGUAUAUGGAGGCAAGGUGGGGAGGGGAAGGAUCAUCCAUUUAAUUGAAUACAUCUAUUUCCCUCAAGUUGCCAGAGUCACAAUCCUGUGCAGCAGGACAUGCUGAAUGCCCUGGCACACCUGGAUGAUAGCCACCUCAAUAUAGAUUUCCCCCCACACCAAACUGCCCAUCAGCCAACAAUAUUUGUUUGAUUUGCAGCUGUUAUCUCCGCUGUCAUUCGUUCAUUCAUUCGUUAUGUCUAGGUACUCCUCACUAUUCAGUUUCCCUAAUGCAUGGCUGGCUGCUGUGGCAUUGCUACAGUUCCAUAAAAAGGAAACAAUCAAUUACCCUGUCUCUGCACCAGGCAACAGAACUCUGCCGAUCUGUUCAGCAUCCAGGCUUCUGAUGCUGAAUUAGCAGAGAGAUUGAAAACCAGCACAAAAAAGUAAAUUAUGGGAUGGACCAGAGGAUACUAUCGGAAUUAAAAGAGGGUGGGGGAGCACCAAAAGAGGAGGUAGAUCAUAGCAUGGGACAGAAGGAAGUGUGGAAAUUUGAUCCCAAACUCCACAAUUCCUGAGAAGAGUGCUGAUGCCCCACAGUAUCCUUCCACAUUUUUCCACAAGAUAAUGUGCUGGAUGGCGGUGCAGGGGACACUGGGAACACUACCCACAGUGCUGCAUGUCUUUUGCCUAUACAACCUGAGACUGUAUGAGGACACAAUGCACCAACAAAGGCAGCCAAGAUUCAACACACUGUGCCAAAAUAGCUAUUCUGGUAGCUGUAUGCCAACAAAACUUUUGCCAGUAAAACUUUCUAGUGUAGACAAACCCUUAGUAAUCCCAUUUUUACAAUAGCCUUACCAUAAUGACACAAUAAUGUUAUUCUCAUACAAUGUUAAAAAUUGAAUGUAAAAUAGUUUAUCGUAGCUGACCUAUUAGUCAGUACGGUACUUACCACAGUUUACUACGUAAUCUCAGGAACCAGGAAUCCAAUGUCUUAGCUACUGGAGGCUGGGCAUUACAUAAGGCAUAUCCACUUCUGUGAUUCUAUUAUCUGUUCCACUUAACACACUGCCUGAUCAUGUAGCUCUUGGGGAGUUUAAAUUCUCAAACAUGGCAAGGAGGAUAGAGUAUGCAGCAAAUACUCAUGAAGGGCUAAACAUUAAUCUGGGCCAAUGUCUAACUCGGAGAAUAGAUGAUGGGAAACAAAAGAAGAAACUGAUAUUCUACUGUUUCAUUUGCAAUCUACUGAAAAUAAAUUAUGACUCCAAACUAUUUUGAAGAGUUAAUUUGAAAAGAUUUUGUUUUCCUGAAGACUGGAAGCUAGCAAAAACCAGCUACAAGAUCAUCAUCUACUGUGCAAAUUUACCCACCCACCUCUGCUAACGCCCCUAAAAUGGUGAUCUGCAGCCACUUUGUCACUCCAGCUGGCUUUUCUGUGCAGACACUGGAAUGUGUGUUUAACGGGAACAUUUCACGCAUCUUCAAUGUUUCGGUUGUAUGGAUUAAGUUGAUCCACUAAACAUGUUCUUAUAAUCUAUUCUGAUUUCCCCAUGUCUCUAGAAACUAAAGCACCCUAACAAACCACAUUUGUCAGAAUCUUCAUCCACUGUUUAGUAAAACAACUUGUAUGACACAGAACAUACAAAAAACUGCCACUUAACUCAAAUUGAAGACAUUUCAAAAGAUCUAUGUGCUAAAAUAAAUAGUUCAUCUGUUAAAAUUUAUAGAUCAUUUCCGUUUCCUCCCCCCUCUUCACCCCCAAGGGCUGUUCCUAAUGGCCUUAUAUAAAAAACAAAACCCUGAAACUCUUUAAAAAAAAAAAAAAAUCAGUACUAUU